UCUCCUUGCGUCCCCUGCCGGAUCUCCUCUUGGCUUCCUGCUUUACCGUCUCUAGAGUUCUAGAUCCCCAAGUUUACUUUCAGACAAUUGCAUUUCACCUGUCAUUCACAUGGCCACGAUGUAUCAAACACCUUAUCUUUGCACUACACCGAUGAAGAGGCUGAAUUUAGUUGAGUGGGUUAACCUACAGUUCCAGUAUGCAAACUACAAGAACAACGUCCGCAACAAGAGUGGGAAGGGAUCCUAAGGCUGGUGCUGAUCAACCAGAGAGCGGACUUCGCCUUUGCGCUCUUCUCCGAAUACUUCUUGACUGUAAGACUUUAACUAAUUCAUCUCAUGUCGUCAACUUCAGUUAUGUGUAAUGAGCUACAACCAUACACGAUAGCUUGGUAGCAGCCAUACACAAUUCACUCUCACUUCUGUGUACAACGUAAUGAACUAAAUAUGCACCAAUGAACAGAUUGUGCACACAAUAAAUAAUCUUCCACAAAAUAAUAUAUCUGAGAGAUUGCUAUAAGUAUACCUUUCCCAGGACGCUUUUCUUGGGCUGCUCUCUCCGGUCAUACUGUUCGAAGUCAAUUAGAAACUACAGGAAGCAUGAAACUUCCAUUAGAAACCAAAUUCCAAGUCAUCCAAAUAUACAUCACAGUCAACUAUGUUCUUAUGCAAAACAAACCAAAAAUCUACAAUGCAAAGGGCCGAAGGAAAUAAAUAUGCCUACAUCAGUUAAUAAUUUCAGUAUAACAAAUCAAAUAUGCAUGUUUGGCAUGCUUCCAUUAGGUAAUAGCUCAAGCCAAUUUUUUAGAAGAGUGAGAACUCCAUGGCAACAAAUUCUUGCUAAAUAUUCUUCCUAUUAAAUGGACAUAAACAAUAAAAAUAUUAGUGUUAGCAAUAUACAAUGACAAUAUGCACUGGCACUACAUGUUAGAUUCCAGAUAUCUUACUUGAAGAGAACAUCUAUGAGUAGAGGAAGCUUCAUAAGGAAAUGAACAUGCCAUCGAGCAUAUCUCUUUGAACAUGCACAUUGUUGGGGGCCUUUGUCUUACGAAAGUCCUCAAAAACACGACUAACAUGCUUUCCAGUAUAAUAUGCUGUCACAGGAGGCUUCGGCUGUGAGAUAAAGGUGUACAUGGUAUGAAAGACGAGAUCUGGGAGAAGGAUGAACCAGUUCUGAAGCUGUGGAUGGAGAAGCUUCGGCUUAGCACAAAGAUGAUGAUGGAGAAUGAAACCGACUUAAAAGGGAAAAGACAGCUUGGUCCUCGACAACUUACCUUUUAGCUAAUAGUAAGUGUCAGGGACAUGAAUGUAAUUUUACCAGGCUGCGUCCUGUGCCUAUAAAUAGAUGAACAGUGACACCGUACUGUUCACGCUGACUUGUAAUCACUUGCACGUCACUCUUGGAUUUUUACCUUCUGUCAAGCCGAAGGUACAUUUGUAAUUUAAUAUCAUUGAUGUUUGUUUAUGGAUAUAUAAUGAUAAUAUGAAUAAUCUAAUGAUAUAAAAUGAUUAUUCAUA